rnacentral:rRNA from 1 species
GACAGAGGGUGCAAACGUUGCUCGGAAUCAUUGGGCGUAAAGCGCGUGUAGGCGGCUUGUUACGUCGGGUGUGAAAGCCCAGGGCUCAACCCUGGCAGUGCACCCGAAACGGGGAAGCUGGAGUACUGGAGAGGCGAGUGGAAUUCCUGGUGUAGAGGUGAAAUUCGUAGAUAUCAGGAGGAACACCGGUGGCGAAGGCGACUCGCUGGCCAGUAACUGACGCUGAGACGCGAAAGCGUGGGGAGCAAACAGGAUUAGAUACCCUGGUAGUCCACGCUGUAAACGAUGCACACUGGGUGUCGCGGGUAUUGACCCCCGCGGUGCCGAAGCCAACGCGUUAAGUGUGCCGCCUGGGAAGUACGGCCGCAAGGCUAAA